GUGACAGAAGAUGCUGCCUAUGGACGGACAUACGAAAGAAAACAAAACUGAUGGCAAAACUAGCUUACUCAGAUGCACUCCUUUUUAGACCAAAAUAGAUUUCAUAUGCGUAGCAGGGAUUCUUGGAACAUCAUACUCAACUCACAUAAUCCAAGUACAGCAACUCCAAAAGGCAUAGGCCCAACAACAAGGCUUACAUCACUGAAUGCCAACUAACUCUAACUUUUAAGCGUGUUUAAAUGGCCAUCAGAUCACCAAAGUUGCGCAUCAGGAAAACGGAUCCAGCAAACAGACCCACAGCCUUUAGCAGCUUC
rnacentral:lncRNA from 1 species